rnacentral:rRNA from 1 species
CGUAACAAGGUCUCCGUAGGUGAACCUGCGGAGGGAUCAUUACACAAAUAUGAAGGCGGGCUGGAACCUCUCGGGGUUACAGCCUUGCUGAAUUAUUCACCCUUGUCUUUUGCGUACUUCUUGUUUCCUUGGUGGGUUCGCCCACCACUAGGACAAACAUAAACCUUUUGUAAUUGCAAUCAGCGUCAGUAACAAAUUAAUAAUUACAACUUUCAACAACGGAUCUCUUGGUUCUGGCAUCGAUGAAGAACGCAGCGAAAUGCGAUAAGUAGUGUGAAUUGCAGAAUUCAGUGAAUCAUCGAAUCUUUGAACGCACAUUGCGCCCUCUGGUAUUCCAAAGGGCAUGCCUGUUCGAGCGUCAUUUGUACCCUCAAGCUUUGCUUGGUGUUGGGCGUCUUGUCUCUAGCUUUGCUGGAGACUCGCCUUAAAGUAAUUGGCAGCCGGCCUACUGGUUUCGGAGCGCAGCACAAGUCGCACUCUCUAUCAGCAAAGGUCUAGCAUCCAUUAAGCCUUUUUUUCAACUUUUGACCUCGGAUCAGGUAGGGAUACCCGCUGAACUUAAGCAU